rnacentral:rRNA from 1 species
AACGAACGCUGGCGGCAUGCCUAACACAUGCAAGUCGAACGAGACCUCCGUGUCUAGUGGCGCACGGGUGCGUAACGCGUGGGAACCUGCCCUUAGGUUCGGAAUAACUCCCCGAAAGGGGUGCUAAGACCGGAGAAUGUCUUCGGACCAAAGAUCUGUCGCCUUUGGAUGGGCCCUCGUUGGAUUAGCUGGUUGGUAGGGUAAUAGCAGAGCAAGGAGACGAUGCAUAGCUGGUCGGAGAGGAUGAUACGCCACGCUGGAGAUGCGACACGGCCCAGAAUGGUAGGGAGGGGAGCAGUGGAUAGCAUUGGAGGCGGGGCGCAAGUGUGAUACAGCAGUGCCGGGGAAGAGAUGAAGGCCUUAGGGUUGCACAGCCGUUUUAGCCGAGGUGAUAAUGACAGUACCGGGAGAAGAAGCUCCGGCUAACUACGUG